rnacentral:rRNA from 1 species
CGCCAGCCUGACGGAGCCAGACCGCGUGGGGGAGGAAGGCCCUUGGGUUGUAAACCCCUUUUCUCAGGGAAGAAACCUGACGGUACCUGAGGAAAAAGCCUCGGCUAACUCCGUGCCAGCAGCCGCGGUAAUACGGAGGAGGCAAGCGUUAUCCGGAAUUAUUGGGCGUAAAGCGUCCGCAGGGGGCACAUCAAGUCUGCUGUUAAAGGCUGGAGCUUAACUCCGGUUAGGCAGUGGAAACUGGUGCGCUAGAGGGCGACAGGGGUAGAGGGAAUUCCCAGUGUAGCGGUGAAAUGCGUAGAGAUUGGAAAGAACACCGGUGGCGAAAGCGCUCUACUGGGUCGCGCCUGACCCUCAGGGACGAAAGCUAAGGUAGCG